GAAUGCAUGUCGCGUGAAACAUUGUGGGACACGCUGCACUUGUUUUCUAGAGCGUUCAUCCCAUGUAUGACGUUUACAAACUCUGUGUGUGCUUUUAUAGAGUUUCCCGUGUCCAACUCGACAACAUAUUUACAAGGUUCGUCACGCCACGAGAAGUUGGACCUCUACAGCAGGUGUUUCUUUGUAAUUAACUGAAGAUGUGUGUUCCCCCUCAACAAACUUGAUCACUUCUGGGAUGGCCGGCUCAUGUAUCAGCAGGGUGAGGAGUUAGCACAUUUGGUGACGCCCUGUGACAUUCUGAAGACACAAAGGUAAAGUUGACUUGACUCGGUGUCACGUGACUCUGGAGGGCACUACCCGAAAUCAAAGCACACACACUUAAUCAGCAGUCAUCUGAAGCGAACAUUAUACAGUAAGAGCCAAGACUGGAAAGUAUGAAAAAAAAAUGCAGUAGUCUUUAUACUGUAUAUGGGAGGACUACUGCAUGUCAGAGUGUGGCCACAAGGUGGCAGCAGAAGACAGCGUUGGAGCCCCCCGGCCCACCCCCGGCCCUGCUGACAGAAGCGUCACAACUCAGCAGCAGGUUGUCACGCAGCCCUGGGAGACUGAAGGACUUUUCUUUUGUUGCUAAUUAAGAUGCAGUCAGACUUAAGCUGCCGACGGCCCUCAAUGACAGCAGCCUCCAUUUCUUAAAAACAUACAGGUUAAAGGAUAUGAUCAUUAAUCCUUGACAUGAAAACACGGUAUUAGCUAAAAUGAAAUGACAGAUACGUGCAGCACCUCCUUUUGUGCACAUUGUACAGCACAUCUCGGUGUGUUGUAAAAGCACACAAAAGUCGACUUUCAUUUUUGGCAUAAAUUAGUGUGGCCACAGUUUUGCUUUUGAGUUAGAAGACAGCUAAUUGUCAGAAUUGCGCUACACACUUAAGGGGGCUGGCUGCUGUCAUAUGUGUCUGCUUCAGAUGAAUCAGCAUCUUUCUUGAUAUAGGCAGACAUAUGGCGUCUUCAUGUACUCGACACGAAAUGAUCUCCCACUGUUAGACAGCUAACUGGAAAAGUAAAGUAGGAUUAUGAUAGCAGAGCUGCAGGUGUCCAAAUCACAGGAUGGCACUAGAAGUACUGUGCUGUACGUCAGGCGGCAGGAUUUAUAGAAACCUGACCUCAGGUAAAGCCGUGGUGUAGCAGAGCAAGGAAGGGUCAGUCUGCCACUAACUAAAACUCACAAGGCGCUAAGAUUUGGCAAGAUCUGUCUUCUAGCACAACGGGAGAAAGAAAUCUGCCAGCAGACAGCAGAGACAUUUGCUGGCAUGAGACAUCAGUCAAAUAAAACUGCACUCUUCAAAAAACCGAGCAGCAAGUAAACCUGAGACAUUCUGAAACUGCAACUUAUUGUGUUAUGACAGAAUCAAACUGUGGGGAGGGAAAGCUCAAAGGUACAGAAAUCUGACACCCAUGAGAUAAAACUACAGGGUAGAAAAGUUUAAGAGGACCAGGGGCCCACAAGGGAAGGAUACAGAGUGUCCAUCUGACAGUGUGUCACAUAACAAGGUAAAUGUUCUGGGUAAAGAGAGACCUGAGUGGACCGUCCUGUCAGGAGUCAAGGCCACAGGACCCAGAGAGUUAACCAAAUCACACUUCCAAGUGCCGUGUUGACUGGACAGGAUCAGGUACCUGUCUGAUAAGACUGGCCAGAGACCUUAAAUGAGGUAAAGGGCACACCUCUUAUCAACUGAAGGAGAGCUCUCUGACAUCAUCACGUGUCAAUCUGGCAAACCUUAUAAAAAGUAAAACUCACGCAUACCAGGGGCUGACAAGAUCAGACAGCAUAGAGUUUGAGUAACAGAACAGAGAGAUGUGACGCUCAUAAGGGAGAGAUUCUUAUUAGAUCCUUGUUAGAUAAAGCCGCAUGCUAGUGCAAUCAAACAGAUCAUGCUACCUGUGCUAUACAGAUUUGAAAAGCUCACAUCCAAAUGGGGAAAAGAUGCUGGCCAAAUUAUCAGCUGUCAUCACAAUACAGUAGCAGUAAAGGGAUAAGACAUCUAGUAGAGACAUUUACAGAAUAGCAAAAUCUGAGAGGAUAAGAUACCCAUCUUGUAAAGCCUUGGGCAGUGGUCACAGUUAGCUAGUGGAGAACAAAAUUACCAAGGACACAGUGGCAGCUCUGUUGGUUGCUUUUUACAAAGAUGCCCUCCUCCAAUUUCCCAUGUCACGCACGUGCACAUGGGAGGCAGCUAAAGGGCUUGAGUGAAGGCAGUUCUGAGGCAUGCCGGGAUGUGGC